CAACUUUAUUGUUUAAGACAGGGCUGUCCAACCUGCGGCCCCCCCAGAUGUUGCUGAACUACAACUCCCAUGAUUCCCUGGCUAUCUGUUUAAUUUAAAGAAUCAUGGGAGUUGUAGUUCCGCAACAUCUGGGGGGCCGCAGGUUGGACAGGCCUGGUUUAAGAUAUAGCUUG
rnacentral:miRNA from 1 species